GCAAAGGUACCAAUUCCCUCCCCACACCUGGUUUCUCCUUCUUUUUCUUUAGGGAGUUGGGAAUGCCAAGUGGUGGCAGGCCCUACCCUGUACCUCAGCAAAUAGGGAGACGUGUACUCCCUGGCAGACUUCUCAGCAUGUAACUGUUGGGAACAACCACCACUUUUCAUCUAUAGUCACCUCUGCCUGGAGACUGGAAUGAAGAGCUUUAUAUAUUUGUUUCCUGAAGAUGGCAGCAAUGUCUUUACUAUGCAAUACUCCCUGCUUCAUGAGGAUGUUUUGUAGCAGAGAUACAGUACCAACUGUUCAUUUCCACUGUGGCGGAGGAUACAUAUGAGCAUGUAAGAGGUUCACAAAACAACGCUUCCUCUGUUGUGAAAUGGCACCAGGGAGCUACAACAGGCCUUUCCAUCAGGGAAAAUGUUCUUUUCAUUUUAAUAUGACAGGCAAAAUAACUCACAAGGGCAAUCAUACAUAUUGUGCGUGGUGUGUACUGUUGCUUGAGAGAUUUCCUCAGAAAUACAAUGGUAGCAGAGCAAUGUGCAGAGUUAGCACUAAUGAGCUAUGCAUUACUAUUAUGUUCAUUUCACAUCACUCAUGUAGUGAGAUUUGAGUCCCAGGCCUGCUGCUUGGCUGAGUGUUCAUUGCUGAAGCUAAAGUGACAUUUGCAUCCAGCAGGUAAAAAGAGACUGUGGUGCUUUUGUGGGUGGAGUGGUUAAAUCUUCAGGGCAAUGAAAUGAAAGCAGAGGAACUCUGAACCUUUGACCCGAGCAAAGUAUGUGAGAGCUGCUAUGUGGAGAAUCACUUCUGCCACUAUAUAUAGAUAAUGCCUGACCCUUCAGAACAUUUAAAAAUGAAUUUACUGCCAGAGUGACAACACUGGGGACUAAUUAUCAAUGCAGCAGGUAUAGCUUGAGCAAGUUUCCUCACGUUAUCCCACCAACAUGCCUCGACCCUGACUCAGAGAGAUGAUUUUUCAUGCCCAUUACAGCCACUGACUUCCUGUUGAGGCUGAAAAUAAGCGGAGCAGGUGCUGCAAUGGAUUUGGCAGGAGGACAUCUGUCUGCUAGAAAAUUAUCUGAAAGGCCCAGCACUCACAAAGUGGCUUGGACCAGGCUGAUGCUAUUCGUUACUUGAGCCUCUGAAUGACCCUUGAUCAGCCAGUCACUGAGGAGUACUGUCUCAGAGGCGGAGCCAAGAAGCAUGGCAGCUGUUGAGGCCUGAAGUGCUUCCUCGAAGUGGACGGAGGAAGAGGCCCAGGUACCUGAGGGUAGCCCUUGAAUCCUCAGGCCAUGUAGCCUCAUGUUUGUCUGCUCUGAAAAUAGUGAGGAGCCUUCAAAAGGCAGGUCCUGGAUAGACUGCUGGAUCUCCUGAGCGAGUCCUGAUGACUGCAACCAAGAGCAUCAUCUCAUGGUAACAACAGAGGCCAUUGUCCUGGCCACCAUGUCUGCUGCGCCCGGUGCCCCCUGGAAAAAGGCUCUGGCAACAUUCUCUCCUUUUUCUAAGAUGGGUGAAAAUUCCUGCCAUAAGUCUUGAGACAUGGAGUCCUUAAAUUUAGACACAAAUUAUAGUCGUAUCUCCACAGUAAGGCUUGCUGGUUUGAGAUACAUAGUUGUAGACCGCCUGUCAAGUAAACUUUCCUCCCAAAC